UGUUGGCUGCGGAGGACAUUAAUGAAUUCAAUUGACAAGGUUGUCGCUGGCCUUCAGGCAUGUGCACGCUUUGCUCAAAUUCAUCCACUUUACCUCUGUGCACCUUUCGUAGUUGGUUCAGUUUAAAAGGGCGUUGUCCUCUGGAUCGUGCUAUGUAUUUUAACAAACUUGUCUGUUUAUGAAUGUCAUUUGCGAGUUAUAACGCAUAUAAAUAUAACUUUCAGCAACGGAUCUCUUGGCUCUCGCAUCGAUGAAGAACGCAGCGAAAUGCGAUAAGUAAUGUGAAUUGCAGAAUUCAGUGAAUCAUCGAAUCUUUGAACGCACCUUGCGCUCCUUGGUAUUCCGAGGAGCAUGCCUGUUUGAGUGUCAUGUUAUCUCUCAAUUCUAUCUCGUUAUUGACGAGCAUGAAUUGGAUUUGGAGACCUGCUGGCUCUUGUAGUUCGGCUUCUCUUAAAUGCAGUAGUGUGGAUAUUUGCCGCAUGUUUUCCGGUGUGAUAAUUAUCUGCGCCGCAUAAACAAAAGCAAUAUAUAUGUCUAUGCUUCCAACCGUCCACUCCGUGGACAAGCUUAAUCUGACAUUUGACCUCAAAUCAGGUAGGACUACCCGCUGAACUUAAGCUACAAAAACGGGGGG
rnacentral:rRNA from 1 species